UACGUAGGGUGCAAGCGUUUGUCCGGAUUUAUUGGGCGUAAAGAGCGUGUAGGCGGCUUGGCAAGUCCGCUGUGAAAACUCGAGGCUUAACCUCGAGCCUGCAGUGGAUACGGGCAGACUAGAGGUAGGUAGGGGAGAACGGAAUUCCUGGUGUAGCGGUGAAAUGCGCAGAUAUCAGGAGGAACACCGGUGGCGAAGGCGGUUCUCUGGGCAUGUCCUGACGCUGAGGAGCGAAAGUGUGGGGAGCGAACAGG
rnacentral:rRNA from 1 species